rnacentral:rRNA from 1 species
CCUACGGGGGGCAGCAGUGGGGAAUAUUGCGCAAUGGGCGAAAGCCUGACGCAGCGACGCCGCGUGAGGGAUGAAGGUCUUCGGAUCGUAAACCUCUGUCAGCAGGGAAGAACGGUCACUGUGCUAAUCAGCAGUGAAUUGACGGUACCUGCAAAGGCAGCACCGGCUAACUCCGUGCCAGCAGCCGCGGUAAUACGGAGGGUGCGAGCGUUAAUCGGAAUUACUGGGCGUAAAGCGCUCGUAGGCGGUAUGUCAAGUCAAGGGUGAAAGCCCCGCGCUCAACGUGGGAACUGCCUUUGAAACUGGCAAACUGGAGUGUGUGAGAGGAUAGUGGAAUUCCAGGUGUAGGAGUGAAAUCCGUAGAUAUCUGGAGGAACAUCAGUGGCGAAGGCGACUAUCUGGCACAUAACUGACGCUGAGGAGCGAAAGCGUGGGUAGCAAACAGGAUUAGAUACCCGGGUAGUC